rnacentral:lncRNA from 1 species
AGAUUUAUUCAACUUCCUGGUGAUUCUCCACCGCUUUAUGUAUCCAAAUAAAGAUUCUUACAACGUGAUUCAUCCUGGUUUGAUUGGAAUGAUGAAGAAGCUGUCCUAUUCCCAAACUGCAAAACUGGAAUCACCUGAUUUGAAAGUGGGAUAACUUCUUCAUCCCAACUCCUAUGAGAUUUAUUCAACUUCCUGGUGAUUCUCCAACACUUUAUGUAUCCAAAUGAAGCUUCUUUCAAAGUGAUUCAUCCUGGUUUGAUUGCAAAGACUAAGAAGCUGUCCUAUUCCCAAACUGCGAAACUGGAAUCACCUGAUUUGAAAGUGGGAUAACUUCUUCAUCCCAACUCCUAUGAGAUUUAUUCAACUUCCUGGUGAUUCUCCAACACUUUAUGUAUCCAAGUCAAGCUUCUUACAAAGUGAUUCAUCCUGGUUUGAUUAUGUCCUAUUCCCAAACUGCGAAUCUGGAAUCACAUGAUUUGAAAGUGGAUAACGUCUUCAUCCCAUCGCUUAUGAGAUUUAUUCAACUUCCUGGUGAUUCUCCACCGCUUUAUGUAUCUAAAUCAAGCUUCUUACAAAGUGAUUCAUCCUGGUUUGAUUAUGUCCUAUUCCCAAACUGCGAAACUGGAAUCACCUGAUCCUGGUGAUUCUCCAACACUUUAUGUAUCCAAGUCAAGCUUCUUACAAAGUGAUUCAUCCUGGUUUGAUUAUGUCCUAUUCCCAAACUGCGAAACUGGAAUCACCUGAUUUGAAAGUGGGAUAACUUCUUCAUCCCAGCUCCUAUAAGAUUUAUUCAACUUUUUGGUGAUUCUCCACCGCUUUAUGUAUCUAAAUCAAGCUUCUUACAAAGUGAUUCAUCCUGGUUUGAUUGGAACGACGCAGAAGCUGUCCUAUUCCCAAACUGGGACACUAGAAUCACCUGAUUUGAAAGUGGGAUAACUUCUUCAUCCCAGCUCCUAUGAAAUUUAUUCAACUUCUUGGUGAUUCUGCACCACUUUAUGUAUCCAAAUC